UACGAAGGGGGCGAGCGUUGUUCGGAUUUACUGGGCGUAAAGGGCGCGCAGGCGGCCGCUCAAGUCAGGCGUGAAAGCCCCGGGCUUAACCUGGGAACUGCGUCUGGGACUGAGUGGCUAGAGUUCGGGAGAGGAGAGUGGAAUUCCCAGUGUAGAGGUGAAAUUCGUAGAUAUUGGGAAGAACACCGGUGGCGAAGGCGGCUCUCUGGACCGAGACUGACGCAUGAGGCGCGAAAAGCGUGGGGAGCAAACAGG
rnacentral:rRNA from 1 species